UCGUGCUGCUCCCCGACGAUGCGGGCUCGCCCGAGUGGCGGGCGACCGGCGGCGGCGACACCAACGUCGUCGCGAGGGGGCUGCGAGUGGCGGGCAACUCGCACCUCUUCCGUCUUCCUCCCCUUGGCCUCGAUUCCCCAAUCCACCAAACACCGCCGACCUCCUCUCCUCUCCCACCAUCGACCUCCUCUCCCCAACCAGCCCCACCGAAGACUUCCGCGGUCUCCCCAUCCCCGGCAACCUCCGCCCUCGACCCCGUCGCCCUGGCGGCCCCUAAUCUCUCUUCCUUUCCAUGGCGACUGGCGAGGGAGGAUCCAGAUCCACUCGAGCGUGACUGCGGCGGCCACGCACCACAGAGGAAUCCUCCUCCUCCGACACCACCGCCUCCGCGCCCUCCUCCUUCAAGCCCCUAGUCCCCUGCUGCGUCCAGCCUCCACAUACACCCCUCCUCGCGCCCGGCCGAAACCCUAGCCAGCGGGCGGCCAUGGCGGACGAAGCUGCCGCACGCCAGAGGUAGAGCGCAGGCCUCUCUCCUCCAAGACCCCGACAAUGGUGACUGCUCUCUUGCUUGGUGUGUGUGCAGUUUGGUACCAUCCCGUGGGGAGGGCCAGGGACAAGCUGCUCUGAUCCGGCGAUAUUCCUCACCCGGAGAAGAGCCUUGCCCCUUGGACCCCUGGAUUGCAGUAGCUGACAAGAGCAAGUAUGUGAAUCUACAGACUCUCAAAUUGCAGGAAAACCCUGAGGAUGUUCCAACUGGUGAGCUUCCAAGGAAUGUGCUGCUUUCUGUAGACAGACAUCUUGUUCAGACAAUUGUUCCGGGGACUAGAUUAACUAUCGUUGGCAUCUACAGUCUAUUCCAAGCAUCUGGGAC